rnacentral:pre_miRNA from 1 species
UAUUAAAAAUUUCAUCCAUUUGCAAUGUAAAAAAUUGGUGUGGUUGACGAAAUAACUAGAUAUUGACAUACCAUGUGUACAUCAUACUGACGUACAAUAACCAAUUUGUAAUAGUAUAAAUGGAUGAUUUUUUUAACA